rnacentral:rRNA from 1 species
AGAAUCCCAUAGUACGGCGAGUGAAGCGGGAAGAGCUCAAAUUUGAAAUCUGGCAGUCUUCGAUUGUCCGAGUUGUAAUCUAUAGAGGCGUUUUCCGUGCCGGACCGUGUCCAAGUCUCCUGGAAAGGAGUAUCAAAGAGGGUGAUAAUCCCGUACUUAACACGACCACCGGUGCUCUGUGAUACGUCUUCUACGAGUCGAGUUGUUUGGGAAUGCAGCUCAAAAUGGGUGGUGAAUUCCAUCUAAAGCUAAAUAUUGGCGAGAGACCGAUAGCGAACAAGUACCGUGAGGGAAAGAUGAAAAGCACUUUGGAAAGAGAGUUAAACAGUACGUGAAAUUGUUGAAAGGGAAACGAUUGAAGUCAGUCGUGUUCUUUGGAUUCAGCCAGUUCUGCUGGUCUACUUCCUUGGAACGGGUCAACAUCAGUUUUGUCCGGUGGAUAAAGGUAGUAGGAAUGUGACUUCUCCGGAAGUGUUAUAGCCUAUUAUCACAUACACUGGGUGAGACUGAGGACUGCAGCUCGCCUUUAUGGCCGGCCUUCGGGCACGUUCGAGCUUAGGAUGUUGACAUAAUGGCUUUAAACGACCCGUCUUGAAACACGGACC